AGCCGUGAAUCCCUCAAUGGAAGGGGCCUCAGUGGUGCCAGGCAGCUGCUCCACAAGAGAAUUGGGCCAUUUUCUCCAGGGGGCCCAACUCUCUCUAGUGUUUUUGUCAUGACAGCCUAGGUGGUAGAAGCUGAGGCCAAGGCCGCCUCUAAGGAAUGCUGCCUCCUACAGGGGUCUGACUUCAGGCUUUCCUUGUAUUGAGGCGGGAGCCCUGGAGGGUGCUCAGAGGAUCUCCUCCUCCCUGCAGGGCCCUCUAACGAGGAGAAGAGAAUCAGGUGAGUCAAAAUGAAGCAAAGCCUUGUGCGGCGCUUGAAGCCCACAGCCCACCUGGGCCCUAAGCAAGUGCAGGUGACUCAGAUCUGGUUCCUCUUCUGGCCCUUGGAGCUCUUUGCUACCCUUGCACUCCUCUGCGUGCUCGACUGCCCAGGCCUGGCUGCCACUGCAAUGCCCGGCGCCCCAGACCUUGCCUGGCAAAUGUGCCGCUGCUGGAUACCAUUCCUAGUCUCAUUCCCAGGGAAUCCAGAGGCAAGUCUGGGCUGAUACGCCCUAUGAGAUACAAUGGGCAAGGUAGGUGUUUGCCUUUUGACUGAGACCAUCUAUAAACAAGGCUGGGAUCCCAGGUCUGGCUCUGGGGCAGGGGAGCUCCAGGCCCUCGCCCUGGCAGCACAGUGAGGGAGGGACUCGCGGCUUUCAGCACCUCUUAAAUCAUCCCAGAGGGAGAGCCACUUACUUCCGCACGCACAGGCUGCCGCCGGCUCUGUCACAAGAAGAUGAACUACAAGUAAUAAAAUCAAGAUGAAGUUCUAUGUAAAUCUUUCCAGCUCACAAAGAUUGUAGAAAGUUGGAGAUGAAAAGGAUAUUAAAGACCUUCUAGUUCUACCUCGUCAUUCUGCAGCUGUAAAAACUGAGGCCCAGGGAGGUGUAUGGACUAACCCAUCAUCACACAGCUGCUCUGCGGCAGGAGUUGCACCAGCUUUCCGUGGCAUCCUUGCCAGUCCACUAGUCUAUAGCAUCUUUUGACUUUUGAAAACAGUGGAAGAGAAAUCAGUCCUCCAGCAUCUUCACUUCCCUCUGUUUAUUAUUUCCAGCUGCUAAAAAUGGGCACUUUUAAAAGUCGGUCGCCCUGCCAGUCAUUGAGGGUCAGUGCUCUGAGGAAUGCUGGUUUGCAGGAGUGGUGAAUAGGCCAGUGAUGGGAAGCGUAAUUGCCAGCCUCCUCCCUGGCACCUGGGGAUUGCUGUCAUUCAAGUCCCUGGGCGUGUGCCCUCAGCAAAUACUAACCCACAGAGUCAAUUGCUAACUCCAGUCAUCUGUACAUUUGCCCUCCAGGGAUGGAAAGCAGGAGGAAACGCCAUUUCCUAAUCUAGUUGGCCUUGGAUGGAAACGUGUUUUGGCCGGAUGGAAGCCUUCAGUGAGUCGAUGAUGCGUAUUUAGGACCUACAAUCAAUCCUCUCCAGGAUCUUUUACAGGACCCGGCUGUAGCGAAAAACUCACCAAUGCUUCUGGCUUUGCCUUUGCUUUAGUUGAGAGCUUUUGGUUGCAAGGAAUCAACUUGAGCUGGCUUAAUUAUUAAGGGAAAUAUGUGGUGAGGCAGUAUCUCAUGAAGCCCAAGGACAGAUGGCUACGAGGAAGCCAGGAAGCAGGCCUUCUCCAGCCUUCGCCUCUGCUCCACGUCUCUCUGCAAUCAACUCUCCUUCCUUCUUCUCUCUGGGCAGCUGAGUGGAAGAGGAUCCCUCACAACUGCCGGGUUUACACCCUCCCUACUGAAGAGAAAGGACUGGCAGCAUCUUCUAAUGAAAACGCAGAAGAAGUACGGCCAAAAACCAUUAACACUAAAAAGGAAGGAAAAGCCCAGUAGCAAUCAGGCAGCAGCUGAGCAGCGUGACAGGUGAUGGACAGGCUGUCAUUCCCCACCUGAGCUGAUGGAUGACCUUCGCCCUGAAGGUUCUGAUAUUCUAGGCAAAGAAGAAACUGUUAUGAAUUGAAUAGCUUUAUUAUUUUAAAAGUGUAAACAUUUAGAACAGAGGUUCUCAAAUUAUAGUCCAGGGACUCCUGGGGUUCUCCAAGCCCUUUCAGGGGGUCCACAGAUCACAACUAUUUUAAUGAAAAUCCCAUUCUCUUGAGUAUACUGUGGAGUUUUCUAGAGGCCACAUGACAGGUAAUAUUACCAUAGAUUGAAGGCAGAAGCAGAGACGAGAAUCCAGCUAUCUUCUACUAAGCCAGACAGUCAAGAGAUUUUCAAAUAUUUUAAAUAAUGUCACUCAUAAUUUAUUUUUAUUUUGGAAAAUACAUUUUCACAAAACAUUAUGUUGGUAUAUUAUGAGUAUUGCUAUUAUUUCAAAUUAACAUUUAAUUUUGGUUUUAAUUUCUAAUAUUGCAAGUAUCAAUGGAUAUGUCCUAUAUAAGCAAAAACUCUUUGGGGUUCUCAACAAUUUUUUAGAGUAUAAAGGAGUCCUGAGAACAAAACAUUUGAGAACUGUUGAUCAAAAAUAUUACUAUUAUUUGUGCAACUCAGAUGGUGAUUUUUGCCCCAAAGGUUUCUUUCUAGAAGGCAUUGGUCAUGUCUACAUUUGAUCCCAUGGCAAACUGAAAUCAUUUUAUGACUAGAUGAAGUAAGCUUUUUGUACACAUGUAUUCAUUUAUUCCUCAUUUAUCUGUUCAAGAAAUGUUCACUGAGCACGUGUUCUACAGAGUCCAGGUACCGUGCUGACUCUGAAGACAGCGACGGGCGAGACUAACUGGCUGCAUCCUCCUGGAGACUGUGAUUUCGUUUGCAAAGGAGGAACAAGGAUGACUUGAAAAUAAUCCCGGGUCAACGUCAAACCAGAUGGAAACUGCUUUUGUUUAUCCUCACAUAAACUACCAAUUUAAAGAAAAUACUACUUAUUUUCCUAAGUCUGAAGAGUUGAGGUUAAAGAAUUUCCCGGCAGGAGCACACCAUGUGCCAGGUAUUGUAUUCACUGAUGAUUCAAGUUACAGCAGCCCUAGCCUGUCAUUAUCGUGUUUAAAGGUAUGGUUCAUUUUGAGAAAAUUCAGUACAGGUAAACAAAAUCUACAUUCGAAAGUAUUAUACUUGUGUUACAAAAGGGUUUUACGUCUUGGCAGAACUGGACUUUUGGAGGGAGCGAUCAGUAACUUCACUGAGUGAGCAAGCGAGCAGUUCACCGCAUACCUGAAACAGGACUCAAAGCACCGCCACUGACGCGCAGCCAUUCAGGUGUAUGUCCAAUGCGUUUAGGGAGCCAACACUGUGUCGUACAGUCAGUUACAGCAAAAAAUGAGGAAGCAAGUUCUAGGGGUGGCCGGUGUCUGAUGUAAGAGGAGCCUCAGGCCAGCAGGAAAAGUCCAGCGUUGGUAACAGAGAGGGGCCAAAGAAAAUGUGAACUGUGAGGUGUGAGCAGACCUCCAUUUCUUUGACAAUGUGGUUGCGCUGGAAGGUCAAGGCAACACGUGUGAAUUUCAGUAUGACGUUAGGCAAAAAUCUUUUACACUGGCCUGUAGAGGCGUAGGGUAGAUGUGGGGUAAAUUAGACUGAUUUGCAGCUGGUUGAACAAUCACUGCCUAAAAGUCUUGGUAAUGGAUCCAUUUCAACUUCGAUGGAGGUCUCUAUUGACUCGCCACAGGACUCUAGCUGGAGCCUUACUCAGUACAAUAUUGUUACAACUGAUAUCCUGAAGAAAUCUGUUGAUGACAAAGAUGAGAGCAAUAACUUGUGCACGAAGAUGCUAGAACCGGGGUCUAAAAAUAUUUCUAAAGAGUGAAACAAUGUGCCA
ensembl:lncRNA